rnacentral:rRNA from 1 species
UACGGAGGGUGCAAACGUUGCUCGGCAUUAUUGGGCGUAAAGCGCACGUAGGCGGCCGAUUAAGUCGGGUGUGAAAGCCCUGGGCUCAACCCAGGAAGUGCACUCGAAACUGCUCGGCUUGAGUAUGGAAGAGGGUUGCGGAAUUCCCGGUGUAGAGGUGAAAUUCGUAGAUAUCGGGAGGAACACCAGUGGCGAAGGCGGCAACCUGGGCCAAUACUGACGCUGAGGUGCGAAAGCGUGGGGAGCAAACAGG